rfam:Danio rerio unplaced genomic contig NA618, GRCz11 reference primary assembly.
GCCCGGCUAGCUCAGUCGGUAGAGCAUGAGACUCUUAAUAUGAGGGUCGUGGGUUUGAGCCCCACAUUGUGCG